rnacentral:rRNA from 1 species
GACGAACCGUGCGAACGUUAUUCGGAAUCACUGGGCUUAAAGCGCGUGUAGGCGGGAGUGCACGUCCGUCGCUGAAAUCCCCCGGCUCAACCGGGGAACGGGCGCGGAUACGACCUUCCUGGAGGGGCGUAGGGGGACCUGGAACUUCCGGUGGAGCGGUGAAAUGCGUUGAGAUCGGAAGGAACGCCCGUGGCGAAAGCGAGGUCCUGGACGCCUACUGACGCUGAGACGCGAAAGCCAGGGGAGCGAACGGG